rnacentral:lncRNA from 1 species
AUAGUUUUCUUUUUUGGUGGUAUCUCUGUCUGGUUUUGGAAUGAGGGUGAUGGUGGCCUCAUAGAAUGUCUUUGGGAGUAUUCCUUCUUCUUCAACCUUUUGAAAGAGUUUAAGGAGGAUGGGCACCAAUUCCUCUUUAUAUGUUUGAUAGAAUUCACCUGUGAAGCCAUCUGGUCCUGGACUUUUAUUUGUAGGGAGUGAUUUUAUGACCUCUUCAAUUUCAUUUCUAGUGAUCGGUCUGUUCAGUUGGUCUGUUUCUGCUUGAUUCAGUUUUGGCAGGCUGUAAGAUUCUAGAAAAUUGUCCAUUUCUUCCAGAUUGUCAAACUUGUUGCCAUACAGUUGUUCAUAGUAUUCUCUUAUGGUUUUUUGUAUUUCUGCUGUAUCCGUUGUGAUUUCUCCUUUUUCAUUUAUAAUUUUGGUUAUUUGGGUUCUUUCUCUCCUCUUUUUAGUGAGUCUGGCCAGGGGUUUGUCAAUUUUGUUCACCUUUUCAAAGAACCAGCUCUUGGUUUUAUUAAUUUUCUCUAUUGUUUUUUGAGUCUCUAUUUUAUUGAUUUCUUCUUUGAUCUUUAUAAUUUCCUUCCUUCUGCUGACUUUAGGACUUUUUUGUUCUUCUUUUUCUAAUUCGUUUAGGUGGAGGGUUAAGUUGUCAAUUUGGGAUCUUUCUUCUUUUUUGAGAAAGGCCUGGAUUGCUAUAAAUUUCCCUCUGAGCACUGCUUUCGCAGCAUCCCAUAGAUUUUGAGAGGUUGUGUCUUCAUUAUCAUUUGUUUCAAGGUAGUUUUUAAUUUCCUUCUUGAUUUCCUCAUUGACCCAUUGGUUUUUUAGUAGCAUGUUGUUUAGUCUCCAUGUAGUAGGUUUUUUCUCUUUCCUUUUCCCAUGGUUGAUUUCUAAUUUCAUGGCAUUGUGGUCAGAGAAGAUACUUGAGAUAAUUUCUAUAUUCUUAAAUUUGUUUAGGAUAGCUUUGUUCCCCAGUAUGUGAUCAACCCUUGAGGAAGUUCCAUGUGCACUUGAGAAGAUGUAUAUUCUGAUUUUUUUGGAUAUAAUGUCCUGAAAAUGUCAAUUAAGUCUAACUUUUCUAUUGUUUCCUUUAGGAUCUCUUUUGCCUUAUUGAUUUUCUGUCUAAAGGAUCUGUCCAUUGAUGUGAGUGGGGUGUUAAAUUCUCCUACUAUGAUUGUAUUUCCAUCAAUUUCUCCUUUUAUGUCUUUUAGUAUUUGUUGUAUGUAUGUUGGUUCUCCUAUAUUAGGGGCAUAUGUAUUGAUGAUUGUAAUAUCCUCUUCUUGAAUGGAUCCUUUUACCAUUAAAUAGUGUCCUUCUUUGUCUUUCUUUAUGGCCUUCAUUUUAAAGUCUAUUUUGUCUGAUAUGAAUAUUGCAACUCCUGCUUUCCUGUCUUGUCCAUUGGCAUGAAAUAUCUUUUCUCAUCCCCUUACUUUCAGUCUGUAUGUGUACAUUGCCCUAAGGUGAGUCUCUUGUAGACAGCAGAUUUUAGGUUUUUACUUUUUAUCUAAUCCACCACUCUGUGUCUUUUGAUUGGAGCAUUUAGUCCAUUGACAUUUAAACUGAUUAUUUAUAGAUAUGUAUUUAGUGCAAUUUUAACCCCUGUUUUCCAGUCGAUUCUAUGUUUCUCCUUUCUUUUUUUUUUUGGUUAGAUGAUUUCCAUUUAUUUUAUGCUUGAGUACUUUUCUUUUCAGUUUUUGUGAAUGUAAUGUUUGGUUUUGAUUUGUGGUUGCCCUGUUUUUUUAAUAUCUUAACCUCUUCCUGUAUCUGCUUGCUUUAGCUUGAUAGUCAUAUAGGCUCAAA